GGGCUGGAUGGGGGGAUGGAGGGGGGUGGACGGGGGAAGCAUGGGGGAUAGAUGGGGUGGAUGGGUGAUGGAGGGGGAUGGAGGGGGGUGGAUGGGGGAUGGAAGGGGAUGGAUGGGAUGGAGACGGGUGGAUGGGGGAAGGAUGGGGGAUGGAGGGGGCUGGAUGGGGGAUGGAGGGGGCUGGAUGGGGGAUGGAGGGAGGGUGGAUGGGGGAAGGAUGGGGGAUGGAGGGGGCUGGAUGGGAGAAGGAUGGGGGAUGAGGGGGCUGGAUGGGGGGAUGGAGGGGGGUGGACGGGGAAGAAUGGGGAUAGAUGGGGUGGAUGGGUGGUGGGGGGUGGGUGAGGGGAUGGAAGGGGGUGGGUGGGGGGAUGGAUGCGGGGGCGGAUGGUCGGGGGCAGACAGCAAUCUCAGAGGCGGAGGUAGGCACGGACUUCACCGUGGGCCUUAAAAGCGAGGGCGGAAGGGCCCCGUCGGCGAGGGCUGGAGCCACGUGCGCGCCAGCCCCGCCCCAGCCGCGCCCCAGCCGCGCCGUCGGACCCCCGGCCAGAGCAGGGCCCGCCUCGCCUCGCCUCGCCCCCCACCGCCCUCUGUCUGUCCCGGCCCCGCCGGCCCCCGCUUGGCCCGCCCAGCCGCGCCCCCGACGCGGUACUUACGCGGAAGUUGGAAUCCCCGGGCCGCCGCCGAGUCCCUCGGGAGGCGCGACCCCGCCCCUCCCCCGCCCGCCCCGGCGGGGCGCACGCCGCCGCCCCCCGCCCGCCCCCUCGGGAAGCGCCGCGGACCGUGCAGCCGCCCGCCGCGGGCAUCUCCUCCGCCAGUGGGAGCCCCGGGGCCGCUCCGCCCCGCCCCGCCGCCGCCGCCGCCGCCGCGACCGCGACCACGACCACGACCGCCCGGCUCGCGCGGCGUCCCCGGGUCACUGCGGCCCGGCCCUGCAGAGGCGCGCGGCCCGCGCAACCGCCGACCCGGCCAACCGCCGCUCGCGCGGGGCUCCCGCCGGCGCCAACGUACCUCGGGCGGCGCUCGCCCGCCGCCUCCCGCCACGGCAGCCCCGCCGACGGCAAUCGCCGCGCACAAUGAGGCUCCAGCCAGCGCGCGCCGAGAUAACAAAUAUCAACCCUGGCGGAGAAAAAACAUUAAAAAACCUCCAACUCCUGCAGGAAACUCUGAUAGGAAACCUGGACUCUUUGUGA
rnacentral:lncRNA from 1 species